UAGGGAAUCUUCCGCAAUGGACGCAAGUCUGACGGAGCAACGCCGCGUGAGUGAAGAAGGAUUUCGGUUCGUAAAACUCUGUUGUUAGAGAAGAACAGAGCAUAGAGUAACUGUUAUGCGUGUGACGGUAUCUAACCAGAAAGUCACGGCUAACUACGUGCCAGCAGCAGCGGUAAUACGUAGGUGGCAAGCGUUGUCCGGAUUUAUUGGGCGUAAAGCGAGCGCAGGCGGUCAAUUAAGUCUGAUGUGAAAGCCCCCGGCUCAACCGGGGAGGGUCAUUGGAAACUGGUUGACUUGAGUGCAGAAGAGGAGGGUGGAAUUCCAUGUGUAGCGGUGAAAUGCGUAGAUAUAUGGAGGAACACCAGUGGCGAAUGCGACUCUCUAAUCUGUAACUGACGCUGUGGUUCGAAAGCGUGGGUAGCGAACAGG
rnacentral:rRNA from 1 species